rnacentral:rRNA from 1 species
CCUACGGGAGACAGCAGUGGGGAAUAUUGCACAAUGGGGGAAACCCUGAUGCAGCGACGCCGCGUGAGUGAAGAAGUAUUUCGGUAUGUAAAGCUCUAUCAGCAGGGAAGAAAAUGACGGUACCUGAUUAAGAAGCCCCGGCUAACUACGUGCCAGCAGCCGCGGUAAUACGUAGGGGGCAAGCGUUAUCCGGAUUUACUGGGUGUAAAGGGGGCGUGGACGGCAGCACAAGUCUGGAGUGAAAUGCCGGGGCUUAACCCCGGAACUGCUUUGGAAACUGUGCAGCUAGAGUGCAGGAGAGGUAAGUGGAAUUCCUAGUGUAGCGGUGAAAUGCGUAGAUAUUAGGAGGAACACCAGUGGCGAAGGCGGCUUACUGGACUGUAACUGACGUUGAGGCUCGAAAGCGUGGGGAGCAAACAGGAUUAGAUACCCGGGUAGUC